rnacentral:rRNA from 1 species
GUUGUCGUCAGCUCGUGUCGUGAGAUGUUGGGUUAAGUCCCGCAACGAGCGCAACCCUUAAGCUUAGUUGCCAUCAUUAAGUUGGGCACUCUAAGUUGACUGCCGGUGACAAACCGGAGGAAGGUGGGGAUGACGUCAAAUCAUCAUGCCCCUUAUGAUUUGGGCUACACACGUGCUACAAUGGACAAUACAAAGGGCAGCGAAACCGCGAGGUCAAGCAAAUCCCAUAAAGUUGUUCUCAGUUCGGAUUGUAGUCUGCAACUCGACUACAUGAAGCUGGAAUCGCUAGUAAUCGUAGAUCAGCAUGCUACGGUGAAUACGUUCCCGGGUCUUGUACACACCGCCCGUCACACCACGAGAGUUUGUAACACCCGAA